rnacentral:lncRNA from 1 species
AAGAGGCCAAGUUGGCAGAUAGUUCAAUCGCUUUACAUUCUGGAAAUGCAAUGGCUGUGGAGCCUGAAAUGGUGUCACAUGCGGUGGCAACUAAUGUCGGGCUUCAGCGGAGUUCCUAUAAUGAACCGAAUUUCCUUCAAUUUGCUCCUGAUCUUAAUGUGAGAUUUCUGGCACCGGGUUCACCUAGUUCUAGUGUGCCAAUUGGUUCACCCCAGCGCCCUGAUUUAGCAUUGCAACUCUAAUAAUCAGCUUCCAUAUGAUGUGGCUUGUAUGUGCUAAUUGUAGUAUUAGGUCAAGUACGCCUGUAUAUGAUGAUAAGAUUUGGUCGAAAUUUACUUACUACAUUCUUCAUUGGAAGGUCGGUUGAGUAGUGGUUCCUCAAGAAGUCAUAGGAUCAGAUUGUAGGGGAGAUUUUGUAUAGAUUGAUAUAUCAAAUUCUUUCAUAGGGUUAAAAAAUUACAGAUUUAUAUACGAUAUCUAACAUGUUAUAUUUUGAGUUGUUAAUGAAUAUUGUUACCAAUACUACUACUGGUAUUACGUACGAGAUAUCAUUCAUGUCAUGAAUUAUGAAAUGUUCAUGUUUGGAGCAAUGAAGUAGUGCUUAAACUAGUUGAUGCAAAAUUGAGGGCAACUGAUACUGAAAACUUUGCCAAGGGAGUUUGAGUGAUGUUAUGUAAAUUGCAAUUAUAUAUACAUGUGCAUAUAUAAUUAUAUUAUAUAUGUUGAGAGCAUGUAUGCAGUUCUCUUGUUAGUUCUGUAUCAGUGUUAAUUUGUUUCCUUCCUCCGCUCCCACAUUGAGAUACCAGUCCAGGCAGAGAAUUUCUUGAAAAUAUAAUAUCAUAGUUUUCGUGAUCUUGUAUAAGUUGUCCUGGCAUAUUUCUAGUUGCAUCCUAGUUACAUAUGCUGUCCUCGCAUAUUCAUCCUUUAAGAGGUAAGGUCGGGGCAGUAGUAGUCAUUUUCCAAGAUCAAUAGUGAAGAGAAUUGUUUAUUUGAACAAUAGCAUGCAUUAUGUUAAAAAAAUCUCAAUCAUUCACUGUACAAUAAUGGCCAGGUUUGGAAAUAUAUUCUAUGCCGCCUAAAAUAGCCAUGGUGGCCACCUAAUGCUUGGCGUUUUUGCAUACAUCAGACAAUAGUGGAAUCUUAGUUUAGAGGGACUUCAAAGCCUCCCAUAUUUUUGUUUGGCAAACUGGAGCAGAGCCCUUUGGAAGAUUAUAGGAGUCUUAACUGUGUUGCGCUCACACCAUCUACAUGUAUCAUCAUUACUUGAGACCAAAUCUAGUUACAUCAUCUGUCCUAAAUCGUCUUGUUAUUUCAUGCAGUAAAGCUUUAAACUGCCAUUUACUUCGCAUGCGGAGAAGUAUAUUCUCAGCGCCGUACGUGACCUCUACCCUUUGAGUUUGAGCAUCCAAAUCUUGAGCAAAUUGGCCAGUAUUCUUUGUAAUUAUGGGUUGUAUAAUUGUCAGGGAUAAGCUGUUCUUAUGGAAUCUAAGGCUCUUUGAUCUUGGGAAGAGCUAUAGUUCGUCCUGACUUAAGACAUGCAGUUCUGCAUCACUUGUGACUCUUUCCAGGUCACCACCCCAGAGUUCUCUCCUCCUAUAAGACCUUCAUUACCAGACAUGCUAAACUUUGAAGGCUGGUUCGUUCCAUAACAACAGCUAUGACUUGAACCGGAACUCAGGCUACACGAGGAGCAAGGUGAAUUUGAAGUACAGCUUGGGUCCCGAAAUUACCAUCCUCAGCCAGCUUUGUGAUUCUUUUCAAGGUUGUGGGGCACGCUAAAAAAUAUUGAAAGGAAACCGGAAAGGACAUCAAAUUAUAGAGCAAUGAUAGCCAACAGUAUGCAAUUAUGUUCAUUAGUAUCCCAUACCAUGCUAUAUGACAGGGAUACUUACUGAAACACAUAGGUACCAAAUAAACCAGAAGGAAAAUAACAAGCCAACAUGGUAACAUUAACAUACAGCUUCUACUUUUUCUUUUUUUCUGUCUUCAACUUUCAACAGAAACUCCUUUUAAUCUAAAAUUAUUAGCUGUUUGUCUACCAAGCUUACACCACAACCAAAACAUCCAUUAACACUUAGCACCAAUGCUUUUUGCUUCAUCGUUUAGUCUUCCAGCAACAUAUUAGCGAGGAACCAGCAAAGUGAUUGUUUUUUCUGCCUUGCUACGCCUCUACUCUCUCUUUUUUCGUUUCCCCUUUGCAAGGUGAUGUUAUAAAAUGUUGUUGUUCAAAUUAUCUGCCUUAUGUGCUUGGUUAUGAUGGAACAAAUUUCCAGCUUGUGCUAUCUUGUUUGUUAGUCAAAACCUGAUGCAAUGAAAUGGAUGAAUACAAGAAUUGCUAAUUAUGAUAAGCUGUUGAUGCUUUUUGCUAAAGAUACAGAAAAGAGGGAUGGGGCUAAAGGGGGUCACUUGGGCAGCCCAAUAGGUGGCCGAGUAUCUGAUGGUAUCCCUUUGCAAGAUGUAGUUGGUGCAAGUAUGGAGGAAAAAGACACGAAUGAUACCAGCCAAGUUGGUUCGCAAGCACCAUCCCAGUCAACAACAUCAUUGAAACCGAAAAAAAAGUGAAAGGCGACAAGAGUUGAAGUAUUUGAAAGGGAGUUACAAGCAUAAGGGAAGCGAUUAAAGGUGUUGCAGAAGAAUGUUAUAGCCGAGAGAGGACAACCACGCGUUUACUCGGAGCAGGAAGUAUUCGCAGAAUUAGUGAACAUAGGUGUUGAAAUAUAGUUGCGGAACUUGUGGUAUAAGGCAUAUAUUUUCCUUAGUGCAAACGCUGGGAGGGUGAGAGCCGUUUUUGGUUGCUCAGCUGAGGAGCGAAAGGAAUUUUUAUUGCAGAUGAUGUAUACUAGUUCUGGAGACCCGGCAUAUUAAAAAUUUAUUAGCUAGUUAGGAUUCUUUCUUUCAUUAGGCUUGAAGAUGGGACGGCAUGUGUGCGUUUGCGAAAAGGAAGGGAUUUUGUACAUAAGAUAAGAUGAUUCAUAAUUUAUGAUAUGAUAGGGUAAAGCUAUUUUUACUUUUUAUUUGGUAUAUUAGUUGAAUACCACUACUAGUACAGAAUCUAAAUGGUUUUGAAAGAUACAACUUUGCCUCUUUGAAAAAUUCUAAAAACAAACUCUUUAAUAUCAAGUUUUCAUUAACUUUAUUGAGAGUUAAAUUCAAAGGUGACUGGUCGUAAUAAUUUAUAUGGAAGUGUGCUGAGAAUUGUUGCAUGUUGACAGUGUCCAAGAAGAGAAAAUGGUAAAUUGUGUGGUUGAAGGGAAAAUUUACAUGCCCUUGCACAAGUUUCAUGGUCCUUAAUGUAUAAACCUUGUGUGUUCUUCGUGUUGCCAGCUAUCCUUUUAAUUGGGAUGCUUGGUGGGUCAUGGUAUUGCUUAAGUACGUGUCUUUGAUGACUAUGGAAAGUCACACACACACACACACACACAUAUAUAUAUAUAUAUAUAUAUAAAUCCACCUAUGUUUGUUGUGAUGGGACUGUGCGAAGUCCUAUGUCAUAUGAUUUGUCAUAUGAUUAGUUAAAUAUUUUAACAAAACAUAAUCUUCUUCUAAGGCAAAGUAAAACGUGGUAUCUUUAAGGAUGAGAUGUGAAUUAUGUGAGGUAUACUUAUGCUUAAGUAUAAUAAUUACUCCCAAUUUAAAAGAGAGUUAUAAAAUAACAUUUCUUGAGAUAAAAUGUACAAUAUAUAAUUGUGUUGUAAGAUAUACAUAGUAAUUGAAUAAUGUAUCUAUAAAUUUAAAGAGUGCUGUGUUUGGGGAAAACACAUUAAGUGGAUUAAUGACGUAAAAAAGGUAUAUAUAAAGUAAAUUGUGGCCUACUUGUUAAGAUACAAUUGGCCAUGAUAGACUGUCAUUCCAUGUAUUGUUUUAUUAUUGACAAUUGAAUAAAACUUGAUGAAGAUGUCACGAAAUUUUUUUUGAAACUUUUAGAUUUUUUUUCUUAGAGUUAAAAAAUAUCAGUGAUGAUAUUCUAGCGAUCUUUCUAUAAUGUGAAGGUUUUAGGUGGACCAAAAAAGAUUUUUAGGUGAAGUUUUUAAUCUUUUCUUGAUGUUUGUUGUUUAUAGAUUUUCUUGUUACUAUUUCGAAUAUGGGUUUGGUUGGGAUUUGUAGUUUUUGAGGUAGGGCUUCUUUAUUUUGUAUUUCAUAGUGGGAUUUGGGAUAAUUUUGGUGAUAAUGGCUGGUAAGGGAAAAAAGAAGAAAAAUGUGAAAAAGAAAAGGAAAAAGCUACGAAAGUGAAGAAAGCAGAAAAAGAAAGGAAAAUAAGAAUCCUUAUAACGACUGAUAAAUUGGAAUGUACCAUUAGGGGAGCCGAGAUGCGAACAAUAUUGAAUUGUAGAAGUUUUUAGUACCCCGAGGAAGUAAUUGCCUCAGUGAGGUAUAAGCUACAACGCAAGGUGGUAGUAAAGAAAUUUUCUUCUAUUAUAUGUGUUUGAGUCAAGGUUUCAUCCUCUGCAUAUGUUCUUCGUUGAGGUGUUGAAUUAUUAUGGAUUCUGGGGCAAUCAGUAGAAAUAUUGUAGUGGAAUUAGAUAACUUACUUUAUACAUUGUCAAAAGCAUGGUGAAUUACGCUUUUAAAAAAUAUAUAUUAGCUGAGAAAUACUGGUGAAGUAUGUUGUUCUUCAUGGUAUUACGAGGAGAAAACUUAAUUUUGGACAAUAGAAAUCAUUUAUGAUAUUUAUAAUAAUAAAUUAUAAACUGAAUUAUUAUCCAUGUUUCAAGUAAGAUAAUCUAAAUUAUUUCCUAACUUUUUUACAAAACAAUCUUUUCGGCAGAAAAUUAUAUCAUUAUUUUAAAAUUUCAAAAAAAAAAAGUUUUGUUGGAUUUUAGACAGGUGUCGGCAGACGGAAUGGUUUGGACACUACUAGCGUAUAGACGUAUCGAUAAUACCAGAAAUCGAAAGCUUGUUUAGAGAGGAAAAAAAAAAAGGCGAAAAAGAAAAAAGCAAUGGGAGGUGAUAUUGGUGGUGAGAUAGCAGCGGAGACAAUGAAGAAGAGGAAGAAGAAGGGAAGGCCCUCUCUCUUAGAGCUUCAAAAACGCUCUCUCAAACAACAACGACUUCAGGAGCCGCAGCAACCGCAAUUGCUUCUUCAAAAUACCCCUAAUUCUUCUAUCAAUUCGAACCGCCGAUCCACUCGCCGCCACGCAAAUCUCAACGGUGGGUCCCCAGUUUCCGGAUCGACUUCCGGAGGAGACGACGACGACGACGAUGACCGCCUACAGAAGAAGCAUAAACCAUUGCUUGGCUUCAAUUCUUCUCGUACUGAUCAGCAUUAUCCGAUUCCUUCGGCGCUCAAUUCGGCCUCCUAUGGGUCCGAUUCGAAUGCGGAUGAUGACGAUCCCGACGCGUCACUCAAGCGUCACAAGUUUACCACCGUCAAGCCUGGAUCUGAUCAAAUGGUGAUUAAUCAUACAUUAAUAUAUAGAAUUCGCGAGUUUUUGAAACAGAAUCAAAAAAGGAUUUUCCUACUUUAUUUGGAUAUUUUAUCUUAGGGUUUAUAUUUUGGAAGUCGAAAAUAGCUUCUCGUGUGCCGAAAUUUAUGAUUGCAACGGAGAUGAACGAAUGAGUUUGACUAAGUCAUGUACCUUUUUUUAUUGGAUAUUAUUUGAUUUUCAGCAAAACUUCAAGUUUUUUAUAUUUUAUGUCUGUAGACUGUAAAGCUUCAAUUUUGUCUGUUCUUUAAUAAUAAGACUAAAAUGUUUUUUUUUUUUGGUACUUGCUUUGCAUUGUUGUAGCUUUUUACUGUAACUUUCCUCAGUGAUUCUUCAAUAAUCAACGCAAAUCUCUUUUAAUAUUUUUUUUUCAUUGAAUUUGGGAGUUAAAUAAAUAUAUGUAUUGACACGAGAGUUACCUUAUUUACAGGGAGAAAAGUUAUCGAAAGUGACGGACACUCUUCAUGGUAUAAAUCUAUCUGGGUUUUCAUUAGAAAAGGCAUUUCUGGGAUUCUUAGAAAAAAGAAGUGUUGGGUUUUGUUAACUAUAUUAAUUUUAUUUCAUAUAUAUGUGGACAGAGUCACCGGUGGAGUCUGGCCCCACCCCCUUGACGCCUUUGCCAGACAAAAAGUUGUUGGUAUUCAUUCUUGACAGGCUUCAAAAGUAUUUGUUAUUUUUGGUUCAUUUGAUUUUUUUUUUCUUAUCCUAUCUUCCGUUUGAUGGAAUUUGAUCGUUUUUACUUAAUCUACUUCCAGGAAAGACACUUAUGGGGUAUUCUCUGAACCAGUAGAUCCUGAAGAGGUGCAUUUUGUUUUUCAUUCUAGCAUAAAUCUAGCUUACUGAAAAGUGAAAUCCCUGUUCCUGAUAUAAUAUUGGAUUGGAUACAGCUUCCAGAUUACCAUGACAUUAUUGCACACCCAAUGGACUUUUUGACAGUCAGGAAAAAACUUGAUAAGGGAGCUUAUACUACCUUGGAACAAUUUGAGGUUUGUUUUGCAAGCAUUCUCUUUGCUAAUGUGGAUACAAUGUUCAUCUAUCUGUCUACCCUCAGACAUGGUGGAGAGGGAAGGCCGAGUAAGUUGUUUGACUGCAUUGCCGUCAAUGUUGAUUAAGUUUUUGAUGAUGUUUUCUGGAUUUCUCUGGUUGAUUUGUGUGUUUUUGUAGAAAAUGUAUAUGCUGAGUCAAGUUUGUGUUGUCAAUCAAGCAAGUCCCUGUUGAAUACCGGAGGCAUGCUAUGUCUUUUCAGAAUACUGUAGUAAUGUUGUUGGCUAUGAUGUUUUAGUUGUUCAUUUUGAGUGCAGUUGUUUGGGAUGGCAUUUUGGUCUCUUAUGUCUGAAAGGUUCUUUAAUUUGGUUUGAGGGGAUAAUUAAUUGUUCUACUUGCCUUUGUUUUUAAUGUUUAUACGAUAUUGAAUUUAAUUGGUACUGCCAAUGAUUUGCCCAUGAUUUGUGGAAUUUGAUUGCAGAACUUGUUUUGUUUAGCUUGGGAUCAUACAGCGUACUCUUCCCUAGCAGACAACUAUAUAUGCUGUGAGUUGCUUUUUGAGGUUAACUGAGAAGAUGAAAAUCCUAAUGAAAUGAUUUUCAAGUUUGUAUGAAUGCUCUGGACUCGUCCAGUGAGGAUAGUCUGUACAAGCAUGUUGUAACAGAACUUUGUUUUAGGCGAUUUAGUUUCCUGCAUAUGGUUUUCUGGCUAUAAUCUUGAUGUUUCUAGGACUGCAACUGAAAUUUGUAAGUUUAUUUGUGCAGAGAGAUGUUUUUCUAAUAUGCUCGAAUGCAAUGCAGUAUAAUGCACCAGAUACAAUUUACUUUCGACAGGUUUGUCGAGGUCUCAAUUGUAUUAACUCCUUCAUUAUGAUACUCUGGUUUCUGUUAUAUUAAACAUCUGGAUUGGUUGGGUAGGCACGAUCAAUGCAAGAGCUGGCCAAAAAGGACUUUGAGAAUUUGAGGCAAGAUAGUGAUGAAGGUGAACCACAACUGAAAGUUGUGAGGAGAGGAAGGUCACCUGAAAAGAGCCUCAAAAAGUCGUUAGUUUCAGCAUCAUCUAUUGACCAUGUUGGUUCUGAGUACUCUGAUGCAACUCUAGCUGCUGGACGAUAUACUUCCAGCCUUUCCAACACUUACAAUUCCCACAAGCUACGGCCUGCUGAUACAUUCAUCAGGUCCUCCUGGGGUUCUCCUAGCAAAGAAAAUCAUGCCAUUUGUUUGUCUGAAUGGGAGAAUGAAUUUCCAGGUUUGGUAUUUUUCUGACUUCAUAUAAAUAUCCUUGAGUCUUUAAACUUUUUGAUGUGAAAUGUUAACUACAUAUUUUCUAUAUUUCAUAUUGAGCUAUUUUUCUCUCAUUUUGUAGCUUCUGUUGUGAGGGCUGUGAUGAAGUUUGGGAUGAAACAUUUUGCAGUAGAUGAGAACGGGCGUGACACCUACAACCACUCAUCGACUUCUGGACAUGAGCAACGUACCUUUUCCACCUUGGUUGGAGAAUUGAAGCAACUAAUUCCGGUGUGUUUUAUGUUUGUAUAAUGGCAAUAACAGUUAUUAAUGCAUUAGUUAGAAGAUUAUUGUAUGAGCUGUAUAGCUGGAAUGUAUGAUCGACCUUAGACUCAUUGAGUGCAGGUAAGGAAUCCUAAACUUUUUGUUUAUUAAUAAACUGCAUACAAAAGUUGUGGUGCAGGUAGGUUUCCGCUGGUAAUUUGAUAUGUUUAUAUAUCUAGCCAAAAGGGUGUUUGAAUAUUCUGACAACUAGUGUUUAUGAGGGAACAAUACAAAACUAUCCAGAUCAGUGGCAGAAUAGAAUGCUCAAUCCCUUAUAUUGACUAAUUCUUUUUAUCUCCCUCGAUUUUAUUUUGGUCAAUUGUAUUGUUUAUCAGGCUGGUUUGACUGCAGAAAAUGGUAACCCUUUUUUCCCCUUUCAUUGUCUAUCAGGUUGGUUUAAGUGCAGAAAAUGGUUAUGCUACAAGCUUGGCACGUUUUGCUGCAAUUCUUGGACCAGUUGUUUGGAAAAUUGCUACAAGGAAAAUUGAAAGUGUUUUGCCUAGUGGACUCAAGUUUGGUCCUGGAUGGGUUGUAGAAAAUAGGACAGUUGAGCAGCCACAAUGUUCCUUUUCUGAUAAGCAGAGAUCUCCGAAUUCUCUAUCUGAUAACCCUCCUGGCAGACUUUUAUCUACAGCUACUUCUGGUUCAAACUCCAUUGCGGCAAGUAGAUUUCCUUUACAAGGUAGAGAAGACAUGGAAGCUGUUAGAGGCCUAACUUCUCAAAAUGACUCGACUUUGGAACCUUCUCAUCAGUUUCAGCAAAGUCUUGUACUGCACUCAGGUAUCAAUGGUUCUAUUGGUGGGUCUGGGUUUGGGUAUUCCUCUCAAACGGAGUUGGUAACACAGUGUGUAAAUUCCUUGUCUGAAGAGACUUCAGUGCCAACUCCAACGCACGUCAUGGUUUUGGGUGCUAGUGAUUUUCUUCCAAAAGAGGCCAAGUUGGCGGAUAGUUCAACCGCUUUACAUUCUGGAAAUGCAAUGGCUGUGGAGCCUGAAAUGGUGUCACAUGCGGUGGCAACUAAUGUCGGGCUUCAGUGGAGUUCCUAUAAUGAACCGAAUUUCCUUCCAUUUGCUC